UGGGAUUAAAAGUGUGUGCUGCCCCG
rnacentral:piRNA from 1 species